rnacentral:rRNA from 1 species
GUGGGGAAUCUUGCGCAAUGGGCGAAAGCCUGACGCAGCCAUGCCGCGUGGAUGAUGAAGGUCUUAGGAUUGUAAAAUCCUUUCACCGGUGAAGAUAAUGACUGUAGCCGGAGAAGAAGCCCCGGCUAACUUCGUGCCAGCAGCCGCGGUAAUACGAAGGGGGCUAGCGUUGCUCGGAUUUACUGGGCGUAAAGGGCGCGUAGGCGGACAUUUAAGUCAGGGGUGAAAUCCCGGGGCUCAACCUCGGAACUGCCUUUGAUACUGGGUGUCUUGAGUAUGAGAGAGGUGUGUGGAACUCCGAGUGUAGAGGUGAAAUUCGUAGAUAUUCGGAAGAACACCAGUGGCGAAGGCGACUCACUGGCCCAAUACUGACGCUGAGGCGCGAAAGCGUGGGGAGCAAACAGGAUUAGAUACCCCGGUAGUCC